rnacentral:rRNA from 1 species
AGAGUUUGAUUAUGGCUCAGGAUGAACGCUGGCGGCGUGCUUAACACAUGCAAGUCGAACGAUUAAAGCCCCUUCGGGGGUGUAUAGAGUGGCGAACGGGUGAGUAACACGUGGGUAACCUGCCCCUGACUCUGGGAUAACUCCGGGAAACCGGAGCUAAUACCGGAUACUCCGAGCGGAUCGCAUGGUCUGCUUGGGAAAGCUCCGACGGUCAGGGAUGGACCCGCGGCCCAUUAGCUUGUUGGUAGGGUAACGGCCUACCAAGGCGACGAUGGGUAGCCGAGCUGAGAGGCUGACCGGCCACACUGGGACUGAGACACGGCCCAGACUCCUACGGGAGGCAGCAGUGGGGAAUUUUGCGCAAUGGGCGAAAGCCUGAACCGCAGCAACGCCGCGUGAGGGAUGAAGGCUCUCGGGUCGUAAACCUCUUUCAGCAGGGACGAAACUGACGGUACCUGCAGAAGAAGCCCCGGCUAAAUACGUGCCAGCCGCCGC